UUCGCGAAGCCUCGUUACAGUCUGGUUUUGCAUAAAUUAGAAUGUUAAUUUUAUAGUAUUUGCGCUCAUUGAAAAUUUAAUGAUCCUUUUUUACAAGUGCAGUCAAGGAAGUUUAGUGUGUGCGCGCGAUUUAAUUUAUUCAUAUAGCCAAAGUGUAUUGGAGUAUUUCUCUCAAAUUCGCUACAUGACUGCGUGAUAAGGCAACGCAACUCAAUUAGUAAGUGCGCCAUGUAAACACAUUCAUCAGGAUGAAGGAAUUAAUCGAUAUUUAAGCCGUCUGUGUGCACUAUCAGGAGCAUCAACCUGCGACCACAUUAAUACAUCGUAUACCGUACGUUAUACAAUAUAUCGUAUAUCUAUACAUGGACUAAGCGGCGGAUAUUUACGGCGCAUAUACAAACACCAAAGUGCCCUGCCUGCAAGUCGCGCAUCACAAUAAUAACAUAGCCCUGAGAGCGAGCGAGCGAGCGAGAGAGUGAAUCUAAUCUCUCGUCAGCGGUGCCAGUCAUGUUGCGAAGCUCAGCAGCCGUGUCUGUCCUUACGUCGACGCUGCUACUAUCACUGCUGUUGCUGAUGCCACUCGACGCCUCGACAACGCACACUGCAUCGCUGAACUGCUGCUUUAGCGAGCUAAGUGACGUCGUUGCCGCCGUCGCCGGUGCUGCUGCUGGUAGCGAUGCAGUCAUGCUCAACGAAGACGACGACGACAACAUGACCAGCUUUGACAUCCAUUUGAGGCCAAGUAAAAAUGUCACGCUGGAAGCGACGACUUGGCCCGAAGAGGAGGACGGAGAAAAAGUAGUCGAGGUGCCGUUCGGCAGCUUAGAAACCGACUGGUCGAGGUUGAUGCUGUUGCUGCAAGAACUGCGCCAGCCGGAGGGAACGUCGGAGGACCGGCAUCAGACCGAGCAACAUCUGCUGAGGCUCGUGCGGCUCGUCAUUAAGGCAUUCCAGAAUUUAGCAGCCGAUCGAGAUCGAUCUCAGACCACCCCUGAUGCCUUUGACAAUUUCACCGACAUUUACACAAUUGAGACGAGCACCGAAGAGGAGGAGGAGGAGGAGUCAGUCGCCGCAACGACGACUUUGUACACCAACGAAUCGGUGCAGUACGACGAGCCUCUGCAAAUAUCGACAUUGACGUUUAAUAGUAGUCUGCGUGGCAAUAAAUCGAAUAUGGAUCAAGUGGAAAACGACGAGGAUCCAUCGAGUGAAUAUUUUUUCAACCUUUCAUUUCCGAACGACGAGGCGAAAAGCGACGAUAACGUAAACGACGUUACCGAAGCAAAGACGAGCAGUGACACGACCGAGUCGAGUCUCAAAAAUCUUCUCUCCCGAUUACAACGUCGUAACAAUACUCGUCCCGACAGCGAGAUUAACGCGCCGGAAGCAGAGCAGGAAUUAGUGAGCACGAGUAGCAGCAGCAGCAGCAGCAACGACGCCAGCAGCUUGCUCAACGUCUUGAACGAAGAUUGGAGUAUCGAUGGGUUUUCCGCGCGAUCGAAGAAAGAGGAAAAUCUCACCCAAGAAAUUUUGACCGAAGAAAGGAAUAUGGGGGAAACGACGACGACGGCGACGAUGGCUUUGGCCGAGACAUCGACGAUGAUUGGACUCGAUAGUAACGCCACUACUACGACUAUGUUGCCUGAUAACAUUACGAGUGUUGCCGGCGAGAAUCAGACGGGGGCCGUGGCCCGAUACGAGGAUGAUUGGAAAUCGCCAAUGCCCGAAACCACUGGCAGUCAAGAAACGACGACGACGACGACGAUGACGACGAUAACGUCGGACUCCUCUAGGCGUGCGUCGGGCUUUAUGCGUCGGCUCGUGUCAAGUUCGCCGCUCGUGUUGUUGAACAAGGAGGAUUCGGAUCAUCAACGCAAGCCCCGGCACGAAGACGCGAGCACGACCGGCAGCAGUGGCAGCAGUAGCAGCAGCAGCGCCGCUAAUCUUCAGAAGAGCAGUAGCGGCAAGUGGUCCGUGCUGCAGGAGCAGUAGCAGCAUGCUAGGAGGCAAUAUCGAACUUUUUUCGCUCGGAGGCAGACGCAAUUUGACGAAAAAAGAGGCGAGCUCAGAGAGAAAAAUAUCGAAGGCGGUCUUUCAACUGGCACGGGCAGUAGCAGCGAGUGACUCUCGUGUAUCGCAAUCGUCGACGAAAAAAUAAUAAUACGUAUAUAUCACUUGGUCAAGAGGAUGAAGCAGACGUUUCUACAAAAAUUUUGGGCUGCACAUACACUCGAGCACUUGUAAUAUGGCAUAUAAUGAAUACACGAAGUAUACGAUCAGACGCUUUUACGAAGCUUGCGGCGUAACUAACUCGCUCGCUCAUAUUAUGUACGUGGGUCUAUUCAGAAUAGAUUAUUACGAGGAAAAUACUCGAGGCAAACAUCGUAACGAGUAACGGCAGAAGCAAUAGUAUCCAGACAUCUCCUCUCUUCUUUUUUUUUUGCUUCCUACACCGCGCCCUAUACGCCCUAUACCGAGAGAGUCUAAAAAAGACGCGCAAUCUCAAAGGCACUAGCCAAGAUGCUGCGGGAGUAUAGUACACGUCGCGCAUACAAGUCGCUUCUCGCGUUGCGACUCGCGUAUAUUAUAUAUAGCCGCAGCAGUAAGAGCCGCGACAUACUCGGUUCUGCUCUCUCGCUCUCUCUCUCUCUCUCUCUCUCUCUCGUUCUCUCCCGGGCAUUAUCUGGCAGACAUUUACACUCCAUAUACUUAUUGCGCCGCAUAUUCUUGUCUUUUACGGUGCCGGCCAAAGAAGAAAGUCGUCGUCGUCGUCUUCGUGCGAGGUUCGCGCGAGAUGCGAGGCGCACUUUACGACGAGUCGCUAUAUGUAUAAUAACGCAAUACAUACGCAUUGUCGUAUAUACAUCUAUGCCGCGCGCGGCCCCGUAUCUCGGCCACUGCGUCUUUUAUAAUGCGGAUAUGAAAGUAUCUUUAUUGUGUGACGAUAAGACAGCCGUACUACCUCCUCCUCGAGGCGAAUAUAUAUGGAGUUUAUAUAGCAUAGCUGCCGACUCGACGCGCGUAUUAAUUUAUGGCGGCGGGGCGCGCGAACGCUGCCCAGAGAUAUCAUUCAAUAAGGUAAUAAAACUGCCUUUUAUUCCCGUGAUAAUUCCUUUCUUAAAGCAACGUUAAACUUUAUCUAAUGGAAUAAACGAUAUGUCAGCGAAAUAAUUAAUAUCGUGCGUCGAAAGCCGCUAUAAAUAUGUUAACAUGCUAAUUUUGCCGCUUCUCUUUUUACGUUGUACGUAUGAAAAAUACUUUGAUUAACGAUGAAAUGUAUUGCCCGAUAUAUUCGCUGAUACCACUCUCCCCCUCAAAUGCUUGGAUUAUGGUAUACUUCUAUAUACGUGCCUUUUAUUCGUGGUAUAAAGCUAAUUAGCUAAUUAAUUGAUGUACUUGAAACAUCGACGCGUGUGCCUUUUACGAUAGAAUUAUUGACCUAAAAACAACAGGCGAUCUGUGUAAACAUAAU